UACGAAGGGGGCUAGCGUUGUUCGGAAUUACUGGGCGUAAAGGGCGCGUAGGCGGUCCUGAUCGUCGGAUGUGAAAGGCCUGGGCUCAACCUGGGAAUGGCAUCCGAUACGGCGGGACUGGAGUGUGGGAGAGGUUGGUGGAAUUCCCAGUGUAGAGGUGAAAUUCGUAGAUAUUGGGAAGAACACCAGUGGCGAAGGCGGUUGCCUGGAGCUUUGCUGACGCUGAUGCGCGAAAGCGUGGGGAGCGAUCCGG
rnacentral:rRNA from 1 species